UACGUAGGGUGCGAGCGUUAAUCGGAAUUACUGGGCGUAAAGCGUGCGCAGGCGGUUUUGUAAGUCAGAUGUGAAAUCCCCGGGCUUAACCUGGGAACUGCGUUUGAAACUACAAGGCUAGAGUGUAGCAGAGGGGGGUGGAAUUCCACGUGUAGCAGUGAAAUGCGUGGAUAUGUGGAGGAACACCGAUGGCGAAGGCAGCCUCCUGGGCUAGUACUGACGCUCAUGCACGAAAGCGUGGGGAGCAAACAGG
rnacentral:rRNA from 1 species